rfam:Synechococcus phage S-RIM2 R1_1999, complete genome.
UCCUCAGUAGCUCAGCGGCAGAGCCAUCGACUGUUAAUCGAUUGGUCGUAGGUUCAAAUCCUACCUGGGGAG